rnacentral:tRNA from 1 species
GGGCCGGUCGUCUAGUCUGGUAGGAUACUACCCUUACGAGGUAGUGGUCGCAGGUUCAAAUCCUGCCCGGCCCA